AAAUUGAAGAGUUUGAUCAUGGCUCAGAUUGAACGCUGGCGGCAGGCCUAACACAUGCAAGUCGAACGGUAACAGGAAGAAGCUUGCUUCUUUGCUGACGAGUGGCGGACGGGUGAGUAAUGUCUGGGAAACUGCCCGAUGGAGGGGGAUAACUACUGGAAACGGUAGCUAAUACCGCAUAACGUCGCAAGACCAAAGAGGGGGACCUUCAGGCCUCUUGCCAUCGGAUGUGCCCAGAUGGGAUUAGCUUGUUGGUGAGGUAACGGCUCACCAAGGCGACGAUCCCUAGCUGGUCUGAGAGGAUGACCAGCCACACUGGAACUGAGACACGGUCCAGACUCCUACGGGAGGCAGCAGUGGGGAAUAUUGCACAAUGGGCGCAAGCCUGAUGCAGCCAUGCCGCGUGUAUGAAGAAGGCCUUCGGGUUGUAAAGUACUUUCAGCGGGGAGGAAGGGAG
rnacentral:rRNA from 1 species